CGUAUGGGUAUAAGUGUCUCUCCAACCUAAGAUCACCACGGUGAUUUGUAAGUAACUUAUUGUACUUUGAUAUCAGACUAAUUAAGUUUUUAAUUCAGUGAUGAAAAAUUUUUGGAUACAGUCAAGUACUUGCCAAGUCGGUGCAUGAGUCAAGAUAGGAUUGACCCCUUCGAAUUAGUAAAAGAUAUGCAUCAGUGUAUUUCAAUUUAGUAAAACCUAGGCCCGGGUAAUCCAUGUUAUGGAUUUAAAAAAGAUUAAAAUAUAAUAUGGAUGACUUAUCUAGGAUUGACAAUUAAAUCUUAGAUCAUUCUCGAGCAUUAAGAUCAAAGAGAUGAAUUAUACGGUACCCAUACGCCAAUAGGUUCUUG
rnacentral:lncRNA from 1 species